rnacentral:rRNA from 1 species
AGCGAACGCUGGCGGCAGGCUUAACACAUGCAAGUCGAACGCCCCGCAAGGGGAGUGGCAGACGGGUGAGUAACACGUGGGAACGUACCCUUUGGUUCGGAAUAACUUGGGGAAACUCAAGCUAAUACCGGAUAAGCCCUUAUGGGGAAAGGUUUACUGCCGAAGGAUCGGCCCGCGUCUGAUUAGCUAGUUGGUGAGGUACUGGCUCACCAAGGCGACGAUCAGUAGCUGGUCUGAGAGGAUGAUCAGCCACACUGGGACUGAGACACGGCCCAGACUCCUACGGGAGGCAGCAGUGGGGAAUAUUGGACAAUGGGGGCAACCCUGAUCCAGCCAUGCCGCGUGAGUGAUGAAGGCCUUAGGGUUGUAAAGCUCUUUUACCCGGGACGAUAAUGACUGUACCGGGAGAAUAAGCCCCGGCUAACUUCGUGCCAGCAGCCGCAGUAA